UCCUCCUCAUUCCUCUUCUCCGUGUUUCUCGCUCCGUUCGUCGUUGUUCCUUUUUCUCCUAUCCGCGUUAUUAAACAUCUAUCGAGGUAAGGAGAAACGUGGGUAAUCACGACAGAAAACACAUACACGGUAUACGCUAUUAUAAAAAAUAAUAAAUAUCAUUGAAACGUGAAUUACACGAUCGGAAACGCGACACGUCGGCACCCGAGCGAUCUCGAGGUGUCGAUGAUCGCGUUCCCGGUUUAACAAUCUUAGGACAUCGACAACGAUAUAAUAUUCCUUAUGUGUACGCGUGUACGCCUGUAUCUUGUGUCAGUAUUCGUGUGUAUUUGUGCGCGAGCACGCGUCUCCGUUUUGCCUCCGGAUAAUAUCGUUUCCUUCGCCGACAGAAAUCGAUCAGCGUCGGUGGUAAACCUACCACCUUCUUCUCGUCGAUUUUCGCAACACGAUUUUUCCUGUGCUCGCUGUGUGCGUGUGAGAGUGAUGUAACUGGAAGUAGUCGCGCGAAGAUAAUUUGCUUCGUAAAGAAUAGGUGGACAGCUCGACAACCGCAACCACUAACUAUUAUGCAACUUCCAAUAACGUCCGUUUAAAUUCAUCACCAUAUUUCUGGCCGAGGAAAGCUUUCACCCUCUUCCUCUCUCCAUCUUCGCGAGAAUCUCGCCGGUAGCACCGUCUUUUAAAUAAAUCAGCAGAGCUUUCGCUGAACACUGACAAAGAGAAGAGAAGAGAAGAAAAGAGAAGAGAGAAAAGAAGAGAAGAGAAGAGAAGAGAAGAGAAGAGAGGAAAAUAGAACGACGAUGACAAGGACGAAGACGAGGAAGAAGGGAAAGAUAGCUGCCGGCUCGGAAGAGCUCCCGAAGCGAAGGUUGGAGACACACUUUCAUCGGGUCUCGAAGAACUUCUGGCUGGCGGCAUUACCGCGAUUCAAGCGCAUCGUGCAACUUGAUAAAAAGCAUCCAGAUCCGUCUUGAAACACCUCCCGUUGGAAGCUACCUCGAGGAAGGAUUUACGCCUUGAUCGAG
rnacentral:misc_RNA from 1 species